UACAGAGGUCUCAAGCGUUGUUCGGAUUCAUUGGGCGUAAAGGGUGCGUAGGCGGCGCGGUAAGUCGGGUGUGAAAUCUUGGAGCUUAACUCCGAAACUGCAUUCGAUACUGCCGUGCUUGAGGACUGGAAAGGAGACUGGAAUUUACGGUGUAGCGGUGAAAUGCGUAGAUAUCGUAAGGAAGACCAGUGGCGAAGGCGGGUCUCUGGACAGUUCCUGACGCUGAGGCACG
rnacentral:rRNA from 1 species